UGUAGAAAUAUAUCAGUCUGGAAAGGUUUACAACGUCAUUUCUAAGGCUCUAGGACUCCACUGAAUCACAGCUAUUAUCUGCAAAUGGUAAGCACUUGGAACAGUGGUGAAUCUUCCUUGGAGUGGCCAGCCUGCAGUGAGAACUCAUCCAGGAAGUCACUUAUCAUCCCAGAAAAACAUCCAAAGAACAGCAGUCCUAUCAAGCUUCAGCUAAGAAAGCGGAACAACAAUUGGCUGGAAUGGCGGCGAGAGACAGCUUGGAGGUGGCAGGCAGACUGAUGACUCACCAUCCAUGGCAAACGGGGCUGUCAGACUGCACGGUUUGUUUUGACACAAAAAUGGCGCCUUAAAAUACCUUUCCAAAUCCGAACAGCUGAGAUCAUGGUCAGAGAUAGGCUUCUGUAAUUCACACAGAGCACCGCCACACUGCGGCUGUGACCUCCAGCUGACACCUCUGGUGGGCACAAGGAGACGAGUACUUCACACCAAGGUGUCCCCUGUGGUGCCUAAAUCACCCUGUAAGAAGCCGCCGAGCAGGCCUGGAGGAGACAGGGGAGCUACCACAGGGAAGUGAUUAAGAA